GAGUUUGAUCUUGGCUCAGGACGAACGCUGGCGGCGCGCUUAACACAUGCAAGUCGAGCGGUAAGGCCUUUCGGGGUACACGAGCGGCGAACGGGUGAGUAACACGUGGGUGACCUGCCCUCAGCUCUGGGAUAAGCCUGGGAAACUGGGUCUAAUACCGGAUAUGACUACUGAUCGCAUGGUUGGUGGUGGAAAGUUUUUCGGCUGGGGAUGGGCCCGCGGCCUAUCAGCUUGUUGGUGGGGUGAUGGCCUACCAAGGCGACGACGGGUAGCCGGCCUGAGAGGGCGACCGGCCACACUGGGACUGAGACACGGCCCAGACUCCUACGGGAGGCAGCAGUGGGGAAUAUUGCGCAAUGGGCGGAAGCCUGACGCAGCGACGCCGCGUGGGGGA
rnacentral:rRNA from 1 species